rnacentral:rRNA from 1 species
UGGCAAAUUUCUUUUCGCCUGUUUAAUAAAAACAUGGCUUUUUGAUAAUAAUAUAAGGUCAGGCCUGCCCAAUGAUAAUUUAAAUGGCUGCGGUAUUUUGACCGUGCAAAGGUAGCAUAAUCAUUAGUUUUUUUAUUGGAAGCUGGAAUGAAGGGUUUGACGAGAAAGAAGCUGUCUUAAUUUAAUUAUUUGAAUUUUAUAUUUGAGUGAGAAAGCUUAAAUGAUUUUGAGGGACGAGAAGACCCUAUAGAAUUUAAUAAUUUAAAUGUUUUGGAGGUUUGGUUUAAGCUAAUUAGGACAGGUAAAAUUAAUUUGUUGGGGUGAUGGGAAAAUUUAAUUAACUUUUUUUUUUAAUGUCACUUAUUUGUGAAUAAAUGAUCCAUUAGGAAUGAUUAUAAGAAAUAAUUACCUUAGGGAUAACAGCGUUAUUAAUUUGGAGAGUUCAAAUCGAUAAAUUAGUUUGCGACCUCGAUGUUGGAUUAAAAUUAGCUUUUGGUGAAGGGACUAGAAAGUUAAGUCUGUUCGACUUUUAAAAUUUUACAUGAUCUGAGUUUAAACCGGUGUGAGCCAGGUUGGUUUCUAUCUU